rnacentral:rRNA from 1 species
CGAACGUGAAGCCUAGCUUGCUGGGUGGAUGAGUGGCGAACGGGUGAGUAGCACGUGAGUACCUGCCCUCUUCUUUGGGAUAACGCCCGGAAACGGGUGCUAAUACUGGAUAUUCGCAUGGGGAAAGGUUUUUUCUGGUGGGGGAUGGGCUCGCGGCCUAUCAGCUUGUUGGUGGGGUGAUGGCCUACCAAGGCUUUGACGGGUAGCCGGCCUGAGAGGGUGACCGGCCACAUUGGGACUGAGAUACGGCCCAGACUCCUACGGGAGGCAGCAGUGGGGAAUAUUGCACAAUGGGCGAAAGCCUGAUGCAGCGACGCCGCGUGAGGGAUGGAGGCCUUCGGGUUGUAAACCUCUUUCGCUCAUGGUCAACCGCAACGUUUGGUUGUGGUGAGGGUAGUGGGUAAAGAAGCGCCGGCUAACUACGUGCCAGCAGCCGCGGUAAUACGUAGGGCGCGAGCGUUGUCCGGAAUUAUUGGGCGUAAAGGGCUUGUAGGCGGUUGGUCGCGUCUGCCGUGAAAUCCUCUGGCUUAACUGGGGGCGUGCGGUGGGUACGGGCUGACUUGAGUGCGGUAGGGGAGACUGGAACUCCUGGUGUAGCGGUGGAAUGCGCAGAUAUCAGGAAGAACACCGGUGGCGAAGGCGGGUCUCUGGGCCGUUACUGACGCUGAGGAGCGAAAGCGUGGGGAGCG